AUUUAUGUAGUGUAAUUUUAACACAUUACUUUUUCAUAGUAAAGAAAGAAGUUUUUCUCCUAAGUA
rnacentral:tRNA from 1 species